UAAAUUAGCAAGACUGUUCUAGAGUACUAAUAAACAAAAUAAUUUUUUACAUAAAGAUAAUUGUGCAUUUGAUAGCAUGAAAAAUUUAAUUUAACAUCUAAUAUAGUGUCUUGGAGCUGAAUUUUAAACAUCAUGCAAUUGUUAUAAAUCUAUUAAAUCUCCUUAAAUUUGUUAUUAAGCUGUAAAAUACCUAGCCACAUCUGAGAAGCGAACAUAAAAACAUAUCCAUGGUAUGGUUAAGAUUUUUCAAUUUUAAGUUAUAUUUUUUCUAUUGAUGUGGACAUAGAGGAAUAGCAUUUUUAUUAAUAAAUGACAAAUUUAAAUUUAAAACAACAUUUAGAAAUUUGGAUUCAAGAGUCCACAUUAUAUAGAAAAUGAUUCCUAAUAAGAUAUUCUUAGAAACUGUACUAACUAUUCUGGGAGGAUAAAGCCAAAAUUUUUUAUUGUUUGUAGUCAACAUCAUUUUACAUCUCACCCUAAAGUAAAUAACAUGAAAAUAAAAUCUAUAUAAAAAUAAAACAAUAAGAACCCUUUUAUUUACACUGAUCUUUUUGUAUAAUUUAGUUGUAGGGGUAAAUGAGUUAAAACCAAAUAGGAAGGAAAGUGUGUGUAUGUGUGUAGAAAUUAUAGAUCCUCUCUACUACUAGAAAACUGUUCCUAUUUUUGUAACUAAGCUCCUGACUUUCACUCAUCAAAAUUAGGACCUAAAGAAAUAAAUUUUAAAAUAAGGAGAAUACUAUUUGAAAUCAUAGAUCAUGGAUGAGCUCCAGGAGUCCCGAAGCCCCUAACGUUGUACACAAAAUGUAUUGUAUCCACAGAAUAUUUUUCUAAGGAGACAUUCCAAAGCUUUUAUUGUGGAGUUCAAGACACCAAAAACGAAGAACCACUGAAUCUGUGUUUUGAUUAGAAUGGGGAAAUUCUACACUAUAUGAACCAGAAGCCUUCAGCAAAUCUCUUUCAAUUAGCCAGAAUUUGGUCUUAUUCCCAUUUGCGCCUGAGUCUUGGAACCAGAGACAUGCCAUGUGCUGAUAUGCUCACAUCUGGAUCACUGAACCAAUCACUGGAAUUCACCUUCAUUCCUAGACCAAUCAGGUCAAGCCCUAGAGCUGGAGGAAAAGUAAGCUUCUCUUGAGGUGCCUGAGCUAUGAAGAGGCAUUGUCAUAUGAUCAAAGAUGAGGUUCUGCUGGGAAGGGGUGUUGGUGUCGCAAUCCAAUGUACACAUCAGGAUAGAUGGGGAGAGGACUGAUGGCCACUCUGAGUUUAUUAUAACCAGCAUUUCAAUAUAUACAUAGCUUACAGCUGUUAAACAUACACAGGUGUUCUGGAUGAAGUAAUUAGCGAAUGCCAGGAAUUCUUAGUGAUUUCUCAAGGAGCCCUCCCUUGGCCUCUGUUUUGAUAUUAUCAUGUUUUUACUGUGCUUGUAUAUUUUUAUCUCAGAGCAGGCAAGGCCUCCUAGGCAACGGCCCCUCCUGCUCCCGAUAUUGAUAUCGCGUCUCCAUCUGUGCCCCCAGGCGACCGCGCCUGGCUUAGAUUGCCUCGCCCUGGAGGUCUUAACUGUCAUUGGCUGACCGGCCUUCUCACCUCUGGGUCACAGUUUGUUGGCAAGCCUUUUCCAGUGAUUAUUAACCCUUCCUGCGUCAGGGGCAGCUACAAGGGGAAAAAGAGGCCAGAUGGUAGGACAAACAAACGUUAUCAACCACAAAACCGUCAGUAUAAUAAACUAAAUGUCCAGGGGCA
rnacentral:lncRNA from 1 species